rnacentral:rRNA from 1 species
CCUACGGGAGGCUGCAGUCGGGAAUAUUGUGCAAUGGAGGAAACUCUGACGCAGUGACGCCGCGUGCAGGAAGAAGGUUUUCGGAUUGUAAACUGCUUUAGACAGGGAAGAAAUAAGACAGUACCGGUCGAAUAAGCUCCGGCUAACUACGUGCCAGCAGCCGCGGUAAUACGUAGGGAGCAAGCGUUAUCCGGAUUUAUUGGGUGUAAAGGGUGCGUAGACGGAGAAGCAAGUUAGUUGUGAAAUCCCUCGGCUUAACUGAGGAACUGCAACUAACACUACUUACCUUGAGUACUGGAGAGGAAAGUGGAAUUCCUAGUGUAGCGGUGAAAUGCGUAGAUAUUAGGAGGAACACCGGCGGCGAAGGCGGCCUGCUGGACCGUGACUGACGUUGAGGCUCGAGAGCGUGGGGAGCAAACAGGAUUAGAUACCCGGGUAGUC